rnacentral:rRNA from 1 species
AUUCCAGCUCCAAUAGCGUAUAUUAAAGUUGUUGCAGUUAAAAAGCUCGUAGUUGGAUUUCUGGCGGGAGCGACCGGUCGGCGCUUAACGGCGUGUGCACUGGAGUUGUCUCUUGCCAUCCUUGAGGAGAACGUGUCUGGCAUUAAGUUGUCGGGCUUGGGAUCCUCAUCGUUUACUGUGAAAAAAUUAGAGUGUUUAAAGCAGGCAUUUGCUGUGAAUACAUUAGCAUGGAAUAAUAAGAUAGGACUUUGGUGCUAUUUUGUUGGUUUGCGUACCAAGGUAAUGAUUAAUAGGGAUAGUUGGGGGUAUUCGUAUUCAAUUGUCAGAGGUGAAAUUCUUGGAUUUAUGGAAGACGAACAACUGCGAAAGCAUUUACCAAGGAUGUUUUCAUCA